ensembl:rRNA 5S_rRNA 5S ribosomal RNA
UCUAUGGCCAUACCACCCUGAACCACCCUGAAUGUGCCCAGUCUCCUCUGAUCUCAGAAGUUAAGCAGGGUUGGGCCUGGUUAAUACUUGGAUGGAAGAAAUGAGAAUUGUGGCAACUAUUAGAU